UAAAUAUAUGCUCGGGUCGGUUUACGAACACCGGUCGCCUCUCCUCCUCUCCUCUCUCUCAAGUCUCAACCUCAGUCAAAGGGCCGAACCAGAGUCCAUCUCUCUCGUUCAUGGCGGCGACGACCCAGGCAAGCCUUCUGCUUCAAAAGCAGCUCCGUGAUCUCAUGAAGAACCCGGUGGACGGGUUCUCUGCUGGCCUGGUUGAUGACAGCAACGUCUUCGAGUGGAACGUCACGAUUAUUGGGCCGCCGGAUACGCUUUAUGAUGGUGGCUAUUUCAAUGCCAUUAUGAGUUUUCCUUCCAACUACCCAAACAGCCCUCCUUCAGUUAGAUUUACAUCAGAGAUGUGGCAUCCAAAUGUCUACUCUGACGGGCGUGUUUGCAUAUCUAUCCUUCAUCCCCCUGGUGAUGAUCCAAAUGGUUACGAGCUUGCAAGUGAACGUUGGACACCUGUGCACACGGAAAUUGGUGUACUCAGCUAUAAAAAAUGACCGAUAGCAGUGAGAUGGAUUCCCUGGUAGUUCCUGAAUUAUCUCCAGAUAUGGUACUCGGCUAUAUUAGUCAAAUUCUUAUGGAAGAGGACAUGGAUGACAAAUUCGAUGUGCUUCAUCGGCUUCGUCACCACGCUCCUCGUCUUCGACAAGCUCUACCGCCACCGGGCCGGCGGGGCUUGAUCCGACACUUCCGCCGCCUCCCGAUCCAUGGGCAUUCACAGCUGUGACUCGAGCCAACAUCUUUGUAUACUUUCCUUCCAAGUAUAAUUUUGUUUGAAGUGUACUCCUCUGCUUGAACCAGUCUUCACAGGCAACCACAACAAUGAAGAAAUGUAAAGGUUAUCAAGGUUCGUCUCCUGCAGAAGUUUACUUGUGCCAAUUAAACCUUGCAUUUACAUCUCAAUACAAGUUUCAUUGUUGGUUGUGGUUCAUGCUGGUCUAUAAGACUUUUCCUUUUUCAUUCCAAUAUGAUAUGGUCAAUUUGCAACUUGUAUUACACAUCUAAAAGAAGACAGUUUGGUCAACCAGUA